rnacentral:rRNA from 1 species
AUGGUUGUCGUCAGCUCGUGUCGUGAGAUGUUGGGUUAAGUCCCGCAACGAGCGCGACCCCUAUUGUUAGUUGCCAUCAUUCAGUUGGGCACUCUAGCGAGACUGCCGGUAAUAAACCGGAGGAAGGUGGGGAUGACGUCAAUCAUCAUGCCCCUUAUGACCUGGGCUACACACGUGCUACAAUGGUUGGUACAACGAGUUGCGAGUCGGUGACGGCGAGCUAAUCUCUUAAAGCCAAUCUCAGUUCGGAUUGUAGGCUGCAACUCGCCUACAUGAAGUCGGAAUCGCUAGUAAUCGCGGAUCAGCACGCCGCGGUGAAUACGUUCCCGGGCCUU